AUAGUAUCCUAUGGAAAAAUGGGCUAACUUUUGAGAACAUUUUUCCUGAGGAUUCUAAGC
rnacentral:pre_miRNA from 1 species